GAACUUGGGGAUAAAAGGAUGUUGGAGAGGAUUAUUUAUUCUAGAGAGAGCCCAUGAGUGGGGUGAGGGGCGUGCAGAGGGAGAGAGAGAAUCCUGAAGCUGACUCCCACUGACUGGACUGCAGCGCUCAAUGCGCUCCUCAGGACCCGGAGAUCAUGACCUGAGCCAAAAUCAAAAGCCAGCCGCUGCUUACUGAGCCACCCAGAUACAUGCAAGCAGUUCCUGACUCCUUCACCCAGCCAAAGGAUGAUCCUUAGUACUCAAAACAAAUCCAUCCUGAUGUCCCCUCUGGACUCUACAGCAAUGGCCCUCCAUAAUAGUUACUUGUCCCUACCUAUGGACCAAAAUUGUCCCUACAUCUCUAUAACCCCUGUUAGCUUGAAGAAGUUACAGAAGACAAGCCCUUCAUCCUUCAACAACCUUAAAGAUUUGAGGACCAAACAUUGGUCAGAGGGGAAAUUAUGAUGGAUAGAAGCAAAAAAAAAUGUUCAUCUUUAACCCAGAGAACCAAGCAUGGAGCCCAGUUCAGGAUUCAAACUCACAAUCCUGAGAAAGAGUUGGAUGCUCAAUCAACUGAGCUACCCAAGCACCCCAACGGGCUGCUAUAUUCUUAAAGGGCCUCACAACUGCCUGUACAGCUCACUGAUAGCUAAUAUCAAGCUGAAUGAUAAGCACCAGAGAAAUCCUGGUAGUUUUAUAAGCAGAAAUUCAAAGAAAGACACUUAGAAUCUAGUACUCGUGCACUAAGCAUAUAAGCACCAGCUUCAUACAGCAAAAGUGCAGCUCUUUUGGCCCAUGUCCCCAUGUUGUAAUAAAAAGCACUUUUUGAACUAAAAACAUCUCAAGAAUUCUUGACCAUUCACUCACAACUUCACAUCACUCACAUGGACUUUCCUCUGCUUGCAUUUCCUGUAUCUCUGUUCUCAUCA